CUGAAUUCGCCUUACCUUUCUUACUCCGUGGUAGCGCCGCUUAGGAGCCACGUGGAAAAGGGAAGAGGCAAACAUCACGCAGGCCAAAAAAAACCCAACACCCAGCACAUCUGUCCCACCCGGCGCCGGCUCUGAGCGCUGUAUCUAUGUACAGAAACCUCCCACAGCUCCAUUUGACCUUCCAGCACACGGGUGAGAAGAGCAGAGCGCGUCGGGGGAAGAAAUCUCGCAGCAACAAAGAGAGAACAAGCAGAGCGGUGCGGUGUUUUCUGGCCGCAGCCACACGGAGAGGCUGAGCGAGGCCCGGCUGCACCCCGCGAGGGGAGGAGAGGGGUUGUGGUGGUGGUCUGCCGUGCUCGGUGGUGGGAGCCGACUCCCCUCCUGCUCCCCAACGCCAGCGGGCAGAGCCGGGCUUCGCGUGGCGGCGGUUCGGUUGUUCCUUCUGUGUCUGUAUACACACAGCCCUGUAUGUGUGUAUAGAUAUGAGGUGGUUGUUUCGCUUGGUUGGUUUUUGUUUUUGUUUUUCUUUUUCAAUGGCUUGGAUUCUGUAGGAGACGGGCAAAAGGCUUUUAUCCGGAAGGGGAACGCCGGGUUUGUGGAGCUUCCAGAUUUCUGUCGCCCCGGAAGGGACGGUUUGAGAGCGCGACUCUAUCAAAGCAUCUGCUGUACAAACGGAAAUGUAAAUCUUGUAUAGCGCCCCAGAACCUCGUGUAAAUAGCCGAGACGUCCGGGCCGGCCGCCCGCGUGGAUCAGCCCAAGAAUCAAAUCCCACGGCUCCGUCAAAGUCAAAACUGCUUCGAUUUUCCCCGCUCCCUCCCAAGAGAAAACGGAAACGCUGCGUUACCCCGCGUGCUUCCGGCCGCCCCGGGGUAACGGGCACAGGAGUUGGCUGCAGUGAUCCCCUCAUAUUGAGUGGUCCAUCACUCCGUGACAGCGGAGGGCGACUCGUCGGGAUGCGGCCGCUCCCCGGCGCGGUUCCGAGGCGCUUCGCUCCCCAGCUGCUCCGCUCUGCACUGAGGGGCAGCUUCUCUCGUUGGCGGAAAAGAAAACCCACCUCGCCGGCUUCUCUUUUAAAAUAGAAGAUGAAAAAAAAAAAAAAAUUAAAAAGGAAAAAAAAAAAAAAGUUAAAAAGAACCGUGAAGCGAGUGGUGAUGGUACGCGGGGCGGCGCGGCGACCGUCUCUCAGCAGAUAUUUGCCACGGGGCCGGGAGCAGAUUGAGAAGAUGGCCGUUGGAAGAGCAGCUCAGCUCCGUGCCGGGAGGUUUUGGGGACGUCUGUGCGUGCUGCGGGUCCCUCCUCGUCCUCCCGUGGCUGCGGCGGUGCCCGGCAGGGCGCUGCUGCUGGGUGUGGUGGUGUUGGCUCUGAGCGUGGCACAUUCCAGGCCCGCUGUGUGGGAAGGCGCUCGCCCCGUCCUGCAGCACGGAUUGAAGCUCGGAGCUCGGCAGCGAUGGAAGGAGGCGACGGGCGGCUCCUGGAGGCAGCGCGAGGCCGACAAGAUGGCGGAGCAGGCGGUUAUCCCGGGGCGCAGGAGGAGCCGGGGGCCGCUGGAUGGCAAAACACCUUGCAAGGAGGGCCGGGCCUGGCUCCUGCAAUAUCUGCUGAGAGACCAAAACGUCGUUCACUCCUCCCCGCUGCUCCAUACCUCAUCCGCGUCCCGUGGGGCAGCUGUGGCUCCGCAGCUCCUUCUACACGGGAGUUCCUCGGCGCUGGGCGCGCUGCCCAACUCAGGGCCUGCAGUCUCCCAGUGCCGCCGGCCGGCUCUGGCUGCGCGCCCGGAGCUGUGCCCUGCGGGAGGAACGGAGCUCUGCGCUCUGGGCCGGGCUCUCCCCUCAUUCCCUCACCCGGGACGUGGGGCCUCUCCUCUCCCCACCGUUACCUCCGUUUUACCCCCACAGAGAGGGCUCUACAUCCCAUCCCCCCCCCCCCAUUUAUCCCCACGGGUGUAGUGCUGUAUUUCCUACAAACACGCGGCUAUCCGCCCGUUCCCGGGGAGAACU
ensembl:lncRNA